GGGAGGAGGUUCCCUAGGCCCUGGAUGGCAGCUCAAGGGGAAGGAAACCCCCCCUUUUGUUGUGGGGAUUCCGGGGGGCCACUGGCUGCUGACUCGACCCGGCCUUGAGCCGAAAGGGGAAUGGAGCAGCCACCUCUGCUACCUACGUUGGGGGCGACCCUGGGAAUGGGGAAGGGUUCGCGAGUCCUGGCCGAAGGGUGCAGCCUCUUCUCACUUUGCUCUGGAGGCUCAGCACUUACCACCCCCCCUUUUAAGGGGGGGUCUAAGUUUUGCUCAGGUUUCAGUCGGUUGAAAAUUUCAAGGCGAGUCACGGUUAUGCUGCCUUCCUUCUGGAGUUGUUCUCCAAGGAGACGAUAAGCAAAGUGCUGCAAACACCUCUUUCUCCCACUCUUAGGGUCUCCUGGGCUACUCCCCUUUCGGGGCCCCAUCCCUCACCCACCCCCAAGUAGCGGGAGCCCCAGCCCUCCCCGACCUGAUGGGUUUCCACCGGGGAGGUCCUCCGAGUCAGAGGAAGAAUUCUCUUUCCAACCAGUCUCCUUUGCCCCAAAAAGACCAUUUGUGUGUGCUAGUGGUUUUUAAAUAUCUCUUCGUCGAAAAACUGAAAGUAGAAAGAAAGGAAACAAUUUCGGAACAGAUGUCUGACCACCCCUUCUCGCACACUCCCAGCAUCGGGUUACAGGGUCCGGGGAGCCCCCACCCACAUUCUGCGGCCCCACACGGGUGGACUCGCGGUCUCUGCACGCCAGGUUCUCCACGACCCCUAAACGUCCCACGACACCCCAGGAGCCCCUUUCCCUGUACGUCCAGGCCUGGGCAGGCGGAGAGGGUAGCAGCGCAACACAAUGAUAUAGGAAUAAAUAUUAAGCCGUGACAUUGACGUGCCCGGCGCCUCCCCUCCCCCGCGCUCCCGGCACACUCUGGGCUGCUCGGCACGCCCCCUCUCGUUCCACUGCGUCCUGCGCCCCGCGCUCAUCCCCGAGGGGCCCCUGCAACCUCUCGGCGCGAAGACGGCUCCAGCUCAGCAGGGAAAGAAAAGUAACUUCGCUUUUCUCGAAGGAACCAGGAAGGAUUAAGCGGCCUGGGAGAGGGCAGGAGCUCGCGGAGGGUGGAAUGACUGUGGACUGAGACGCGCUCGGGCAAAGACUAUGUAAUCGCCUCGGUGUCUGUGCAGAAGACUGCGCUUCGGGGAGGGAAGAGGAGGGCUCGGCUCUCUCGGUGACUCGGCAGGCGGAGUUUCGCAGCGGCGGCACCAGGGUUGCGCCCGCCCGCGGGGAGGUCGCUCCAUCUAGCCCCGGCGGUCGCCAGAGUCUGAACGCGGUAGUCGGCGGGGUGAGAAAGAGCGAGACCGAGUCUCGGCGCGCGAGGGAGCGGGCCGGGGAGUCCCGGAGGAGGCGAGCGGCGGCCACGAGCGAACCCAGCGCGCCCCACGCCCGCCCUAGCGGCGCCGCGCCGGGCGGCGUCCGGGCGGCAUGGAGAAGGACAGCCUGAGCCGUGCCGACCAGCAGUACGAGUGCGUGGCGGAGAUCGGGGAGGGCGCCUAUGGGAAGGUGUUCAAGGCCCGGGACCUGAAGAACGGAGGCCGUUUCGUGGCGCUAAAGCGCGUGCGAGUGCAGACUGGCGAGGAGGGCAUGCCGCUCUCCACCAUCCGCGAGGUGGCGGUGCUGAGGCACCUGGAGACCUUCGAGCACCCCAACGUGGUCAGGUUGUUUGAUGUGUGCACAGUGUCACGAACAGACAGAGAAACCAAACUAACAUUAGUGUUUGAACAUGUUGAUCAAGACUUGACCACUUAUUUGGAUAAAGUUCCAGAGCCUGGAGUGCCCACUGAAACCAUAAAGGAUAUGAUGUUUCAGCUUCUCCGAGGUCUGGACUUUCUUCAUUCUCACCGAGUAGUACAUCGUGAUCUAAAACCACAGAACAUUCUGGUGACCAGCAGUGGACAAAUAAAGCUGGCUGACUUUGGUCUUGCCCGCAUCUACAGUUUUCAGAUGGCUCUUACCUCAGUGGUCGUCACGCUGUGGUACAGAGCGCCAGAAGUCUUGCUUCAGUCCAGCUACGCCACCCCUGUGGACCUCUGGAGUGUUGGCUGCAUAUUUGCAGAAAUGUUUCGUAGAAAGCCGCUUUUUCGUGGAAGUUCAGAUGUCGAUCAACUAGGAAAAAUCUUGGACGUGAUUGGACUCCCAGGAGAAGAGGACUGGCCUCGAGAUGUUGCCCUUCCCAGGCAGGCUUUCCACUCCAAAUCUCCCCAGCCAAUUGAGAAGUUUGUAGCAGAUAUUGAUGAACAAGGCAAAGACCUGCUUCUGAAGUGCUUGACAUUUAAUCCAGCCAAAAGAAUAUCAGCCUACAGUGCCCUGUCUCACCCAUACUUCCACGACCUGGAGAGGUGCAAGGAAAACCUGGAUUCCCAUCUGCCACCCAGCCAGAACAGCUCAGAAAUGAAUACAGCCUGAGGGCCCAGCCGCUGCCUGAGCCGAUCGUCCGGAGAACCUCCUUGGUGGCUGAGGGUCCCCUAAGUAAGCCCUGCAGAAGCUGUACAGGAUCACUGGCUGGGGGCCUUCUAGCUACUGUCUUCUGGAUGGGCUCUGCUUCUCUGAGGAAACGCCUAGUUUACUGUUUUGAAAUCAAUGCAAGCGUGAUUGCAGCUUUAUGUUCAUUCGUUUGUUUGUUAUUUGUUUGUUUGUUGUUUGUUUCAAGAACCUGGAAAAAUUCCAGAAGAGAAGCUGCUGACCAAUUGUGCUGCCAUUGCAUUUUUCUGAUCUUGAAUGCUGCCAGUGUGAAGUGAGCAAUCCAGGCACAGCUGAGUUAUGUUGUAAUCUCUCUGCAGCUGCCGGAGCCUGAUUUGGUACUUUUGAGUGAGCGUGCGUGUGUGUGUGUGUGUGUGUGUGUGUGUGUGUGUGUGUGUGUGUGUGUGAUUCUUGAUCUCUUAAAAAAGUGUUACUUCUGUAAACAACAUGAAUAAUUAAGUUUUUAAGGACUCACAGUGACCGCUAAAAUUCCAAGUAUCUGUGGACUGAAGGUGAUUCACCAAAAUGGGCUUCUCAAAUUAGAAAGUUGAGCCUAUGUCCUUAGCAUUUCUUUUCUGGCCAAAAGCAGUUAAUUUGCUAGUUGUAAAGGGUUCACUAUCUAGAGGCAGUUGAAUAUGCACGGCAAAAAGAAAAAAAAAAAAUUCUAGUAUCUUUUAAGAAACCUGUUUCUUAAAGCACACCUUCUAUUUACUCUUGAAGAAGCUGCAUUUACUUAUUGUAAUUUUAACCUGUAUAAUAUGCUUUAUUGUUUCUUUUGGAAAACACCCUAUAAGCUUUUUCUUACUUGCUAUAGAUUUAGGGAAGGUACCUCAACUAGGGUGAAAACUAAGGGCAAAGAGAAACCUUGAUUUCUUGGUUUUGAAAUUUAUUUCCCUUUUGGUUUUUGUUGUUUUAUUUUUGAUUUUAGGAGUUUGUUGGAAGCUGUUUCCUGUUUGGCUUUGGUGGGUAGUUCUCUCUGACUAGAGAUAGAAGUGCCGUUUAAGUUUUCCCCACCUGUUACACUGAACUUUUUUCUACCAUGCACUACCUUAUUUGCAAGGUGUCCAUCUUAUCCAUCCCCCAGUGCCUCUAAAUAUGUGGUACUUAUGUAACUAACAACAGUUUGCUUAAGCCAUUGCCACGUACCUCCUACUUUUUUUCUUUCAAUGAGCUUUUCAUAAAUAGUUAGAUUCAGAUUCUGGCUUAUGGCUCCAAUUCCACAGUCCUAACAGGGUCCUGUAUGUUCUUUAAUGCAAUCUUCCUACCCGACAUUCACUGUUGUUACCUAGCCAAAGAGAAGACUGGUUCUUCUCCAUCACCAGCAUGUUGAUUGCUUUUAAAGUGUUACUUAGUGUUUUAUGUUUUGUUAGAAUAUAUUGUCAGUGUAGUAUCUGAGAGAAUGUCUUUAACGGAUUUUUAGAAAUGUGUAUUUACUCUAUAAAAUUAGCUAUUCUCCAUCCACCAGGCUGUGCUUGUUUCCAAUGCCUGAUGCACAUAUCCCCCCCUUUCUUAGAGCCAGCCUGGCCUGGGCAUAGUGAACAGCUUUAUUUUCCUCUUGCCACUUUCUCUACAGUACUUUAUAGACCAUGCCAUCUCUGUCGCCUACAUGGUUAGUGCUCAGUCGUCUCUAGUAAUCAAAAGAUGUGGAGCUGAAGCAUCUAUGGGGAAGUUUGACUACCUUUGCUUUCUGAUUCAUGUUUUGUGUGCAUGCAACAGUUAGACAUGUUUAGAGUUAGGGUUUUCAGAGUGGACACUGCUUCACUCUGUAGAAAAUGUUCCAGAUGAUGUUUAGACAUAGUCAGGCCUUUCUGAAUUCUUCGCAGCUUAAUAUUGUGUACAACUCUCUUGAACAAGAGAAGAAUUAGGAGACUUUUCUCCUUGAGAGCUUUCAGGGUUGGGAACCAUUCUUUUCUAAUACAUAUAUUCUUUAACAUUGUUCUAAUUCAGUAACUUGAAAAGUGGGAUAAUUUUUAAAGCAAGAGAUGAAUGAGAAGGUGGGCCAUAAGAAUGUUUUAUACUUUCUUCAUUGUGACAACAAUGAUUAUGUUUUGUCAUAACUGUAAAUGCUUGAGAUAUAAUGGAUCCAGGGCAUUCAGGGCAAGUAUGUGUGGUCAAUCCCCCCUCACCCCCCACAGUCCCGGACAAGUGAUUUAUGCCUUUCCUUUGAUCAGGGGUCAAAAUACAAAGACCAAGGGCCUAGAAAUUGAUUUUUUUCUUUUUGGGCUGCCCCAUACCAUAUGGAGUUCCUGGGCCAGAAAUCAGAUCAGAGCCAUAGCCGCAAGCAGCAACUCCAGAUCUUUAACCCACUGUAUCCGGCCAGGGAUCGAACCUGCGUCCUGGUGCUGCAGCAACUCUGCCAAUCCCCUUGCACCACAGUGGGAACUCCUAGAAAUUGAAUUUCUAAACUCACUGCACUGAUCCAUCAGGAGCUUUUCAGUUAAUAUCCACGGUUAGAGUCGAUAUAGCUUGAGUUUUUGCUUUUGCAGUUUUUCAUAAGUUCACUCAAGAAAAAUGCAGCUGUUCUAAACUGGAAUUUUUCAGCAUUCUUUUGCAUGUUAAACAAGUAGAGAGUUCAACUUUUAUUUCUAACAUAUGCUCCUGAUUCAUUUCUUGGUAGUGUUUAUAAAGAAAACUUACAGCACAAACAUUUCGACAUUAGAUACUUGCCAAAUUACCCUCCCAGAGGCAGAAUGAAAGGGCAUUUCAGCCUUUCUGAACUCGUUAAGAGUUUGUCCCCAGCUCUUCAAUCCAGGUGGCUGUUGCACUUGAGUGGAUAUUCUCCUUUUCUGUCUUUUACAUCCGGCUCACCACUUCUGAAAUCCAGAUCCCACACAAACACCCUUGCCAUUAGGGCACUUGAAAACAUAUAGCAGUAUACAAACUUACUGAGUGCCUCUUACUCUUCGGUGACACAUGGUUUCAAACAUCUUUGCCAAAAGCUAGGCAGUGAUUAUCUGAAAAGGCCAUACUGCUCCAGGGUUAUACUGAAGCAGCUUAUUGAAGUAAAAAAAAAAAAAAAAAAAAAAAAAAAAAAAAAAAAAAACUCAGGAUGAUAGACUUGAAAUCGCAUUUGAAUGUCUUACUAGAACUGAGGGAAGAAUAUGCCUGAUAGUUUCUAUGUGAUACUCUGUUCUGGCAGCCCAAGAUUGGGAAUGGCUGUGCUGGGUGAAGUUGUCACAACCUACAUUUCAAAAGAGUGAAAGAGAAACCUGUCCAUUUUGGCAUCUUAAGCUAUCCUGUGGCAAAGGUAAUAAGGCCCUAAUCUUACAACCUUAAAAACACAAUUCUCAAGAGUUUGUAAGAAGCCAGGGCCUUGGAGCCUCCCACUUUGUCUCUCCUUUGAAGUGGAUGGGAACUCAGGGAGUGAAGAUCCUGUUUUGGAAGAAAGCCCCAGGCCAUUUCAGCCCCCUGUGUUCUUAUGAUUUUCUCUCAGGAAACACACACUUUAAAUGGCAGAUUUUUAAUUUGGCCCCAGGUGAUUUAUACUAAAAAUAGUUCAAAAUAUUCACCUAAGAACAGAAUCUCAGCCUUAUAGUUUUAGGAAAACAUGAAAAUUUCAGAAUGCUAUUAAUAGCAUGUUAAUAUCUUAAAGAAAACGUGCACCUUUUAGGGGAGAAAUGUUUGGUGUGACUCCAGAAUGUGAUAUUAUCCAUCCUGAUGAGAAAAAAUUUAAAUGUUGCUAAAUCUUUUAAAUCUUAAAUUAUAUAUAUAAAUUGAGUUUUUAACUAUUACUGCUUUUCUUAAAAAGUCAAUAAUGGCAACAUUCAUUCCUUAAUGGAAAUUAAAUCAUGUAAGCUUCCUAAUAUCAUAAUCAUACUGAAAUUCUUCUCUCCGAAGAAUUGCUUCUGUUUUUUUUAAGUGACAAAUUUACUAUUUUUAUGAUAAGCACAUGAGAGUCUCUCAUAUUUUCCAAAAACAGCCUAUGUUGCAUUGCUGGGUCUAGGAAAGAAUAAUACCGAAAGUUAAUAAGCCGCUAUAAUUACUUAAUUAUGUUACUACAGAAACUAUAGAAUAUUUACCUUGGGACGAAAAUAUUGAAAUAUUAGAAAUUCUUAGGUAUUGACAGAAUCUAAAAAACACAAAAAGACGAAAUAAUGAUAUGAUUUCUAAAUUUUUAAAAACCUUAAGACACUAGGCAAUGGAUAGGGGAAAUUUUGGAGAAAAUGAAGGUAUUCAAAGAAGGAUAGUUUCAAUUAUGUAUAUUUUGAAGGAUAUAUACUUUGUGAACAUAUAUUGUAAGAAUUUAUAUUAAAAUCAUCUGGGAACUAUGAAUUUGAUAUCAUCAAAAACAAAUUUUAUAGAAAAGCCAUUCCAAACAGUUACAUUUCAAAGAUUGAACUAGGCAAACUAAACCAUCUCUACUGCUUCCUCAUUUCAUGAAAAGCAGCAGUCAUGUGGAGCUGUGCUUAUUAUGCAAGGCUGAAAAUGUCCAUUGUGGAAAAAAAUAAUUUUUUUAAAUGUUCCUAUGCCACCAGGGUUUUUGAAAACUUGUGAAACCCAAACUAUUUUUCAUAUGCUUUCAAUACAUUCAGUAUAUGAUUAGGAAGAUAAGUGCAUGUUCCUUCCCCACAGUGGAAAAACUUCUCAAGGAUACCAAAAACUGUCAAGCAAUGUAGGUCCUCAGAUAAUUAGUAGAGGUGUUUUUCUCAAAAGCAUAAGAAAAUGGCAUUUUCAUUUUUUACUAAAGCAGUUUUCAACUUGGUUUUGUUAUAUAUCUAUAUCUCAAGCAUUUCUAACUUGUACUUUUUUCAGAAAACAAACCAAAAAUGUUCCUUUGGUCUUUGCCAUCUUCUGACCUUUGUUAACAGAAAUGGAGAAAGAGGAGGGGGUCUGGUUUUUUUAAAUGUUUAUCUCAAUUAGUUGUGUUUCUUAAAAUGAAGUUUGAGUCGGCUUUUCAGAUUGCUUUCUAUUUCUUAGCAUUCCCAGGGAGUUAAUUUAGGUAAAUGAAUGGACUUCCAUCAGCAUAUUUAUUUUCCUCGAUACUGGUGCUCUGGCUGGCAAGAAAAAUCAAGACUCACCUGAAAGUAAAUACAGACUUUUUUUCAAGCAUCUAUUUAAAUACUAGGACAGCAAUUUGAAGUUAAUAUGGUAGGAAAGGGAGGGGAUUUUUCUUAUGUCUGUUUGAAAAUUCACACUGUCCUAAGGGAUAGCCUUUCUUGUUUUAUUCCAGUGUAUUCCACAAGGUGGCACUUUGGAAGGGAAAAUCUGAGCAAGGCUUCUGACUUUAUUUUUCUGCACAUCUAACUCUUGCCUAGAGCUCGUUUUUCAGGAUGAUGAGUAGUCUUUAUAAUGCUGGGUAACUUAGAUGUUUUAGUUGUUAGCUAGGUUCUGAACAAUUGCCUUCAAGUAAAUUGUUCUUGAGCAUGGAUAAUACACCCAUUUUGAUUAUUCAGGUGCGCAAGGAGAGAGAGCCUAGUCAUUCUUCUGUUCAAGAUAUACUUUUUGAGGUACCUAAUUACCUCACUUCUACAGGUGCAGAAGUUAGAAAGAUAGACGAGCUUGUUACUCAAAAGGCAACACUCAUCUGUGAACAGAUAGUUUUGUUAGGAGUGUAAAACUCCUCCAGAUCACCCUCCCUCCCCCGAAAUACCCAUACCCUCUGUCAGCUGCUUUCACAUUCCCUACUAUGGUGGCCGUUAGACAUUUGCUAAAUUUUAAAAUCUUAAUUUAAAGCUCAGAUGGAUAAACUAAAUAAUGCAUCAACAAAUAGACAAAACUAUUUUUUUCUAAAGAAUUGCUAUGCUGAAACUGCCCUAAAAAUACCAAAAGACCUGGCAAUUUUUUAUAUUUGUAUAAUCACAAGUAUAAAUUCACGAGAAAUUCUAAUUUUUUUUAAAGUUCUCUCUAAGCAUGUAAGCUAAUAAUUUAGGAGUAUAUACCUACAUAAGCCUUUGAUUUCUCCACUUAUGAAGUUCUUUGGUAACUUUAGUUGAUACAAAUGUAUUUUUUUCAUACAUUAUUGUUUUAAUUCACAGAUCUGCUCAAAGACCCAUUACUCCCCAGAUGAUUUUAGUUAAUUUGAGAAGUAAUUUUCUUCAAUUAGUGUCCCUGAAAUUUAGGAGGAAGGAAAUUAUCUUUCAGAGUUUCCUUUGCACAACCUAACAGAAGGCAGUUUAUUCCUUCUGAGUGGCAGAAACUCGAUAUGCCUGCUUCACUUUCCUCCAGAGCAGCCAGCAGGCAAGCCUCAGCCAUACUGAAUUUCAUACUGAAAGUGCCGCGCACACUAGGGGUUGUCAAAUCUUAGGGCUCAAACCUCGAGUGGGUUAUCAUUUGGGCCAGUUUAUUUGCUCGCGUUCAAAACUGCCCUCCCUCCGCAAAUCCCUGGGGUGCGCCGCGCCGACGCCUCGCCCCCUUGGCAGUGAGUGGCAGUGGGCGGGGCUGGCUAGGAACCCGCCCUCCGCUCACCUGUUAGUGCCUGAAGUGGCUGCGGACCCGGCCAGGUACUGUCCGGCGUCCCUGUGCCCUGCUGCUGUCUCAGAGGCAUCUGUUCUGCAAUCUUAGGAAGCAACAUGUCCCUAGAAGCAAACGGGUGUCUACUGUGCAUAAGUAAGUACAACACAGUUCUCUGAAAGUUCGGGUAUAAAGAGAUGCUGCUGCGUAUGAAGCUACCAGGCAUCUCUCAAGCUCUAAGCUCUGCUUUUUUUUUUUUUUAAGAGAAGAUGUAUAAUUACAGGAAAGAUUUUUUUUUAUUUUUUUAUUUUCUAUGCUACAUAUAUGAUGGCAAAAGAUAUGCCUGGAAAAGUUUUGUUUGGAAAAUGUGUUUAUUUUCUGCUUCAUAGUUGGUGAAAGCUCCUAACUCUUUGGAUUCUAAUUUCUUCUCUUUUUUCUUCAUCAAGUAAUUAAAGGUAUGUGAGCAAGUUAUCUCAUAUAGAAGGGAGACUUUCCUAUUUAGAGGAACCCUUUGUGUGAGUGGUUUUGUCAAGCAAUCAACUUUUUCUCUAUUUUAGGAGUUUGGAUUUUCAAAUGUAGAUUUUCUUUAAGGGGACACAUAGGUAUACAGGAUGCUAUAAAGAACUAUGAUUGUAGCACUAAUCAGCAAGCAUAAGAUCAUAGGUUACAUCAUUUCUCACUCUGGUUUCCAGGCAAUUCAGUUGAAGUACUUAGGUUACAGUGCUGAAGAGACUUUUCAUACCCUUACUUGAGAGUUUCUAAUCUUAAGUUGUAUUAAAUGCAAUAAUAUGUAUUAGCUAGCAAUAUUUCUUUGAUCACCAGCAACUCCAGAUUUGACCUUGAAGUCUCUGAAUGAUGAAAACAGACCCAGCAGUGAUACACUUUCCUGAAUACCCCCCCAAGUGCAUUAUAUAUCUUCUCAUUUUGAUCCUAUGUUUGCAACAAUGUAUACAUGAAUAUUUUAUUUCCUUUGUAUUCAUCUAUUUUCUUAUGAUCAGUAAUAAAUAUAUUAAUACAUUGAAUGAAUAGAAUCAACUACUCCUAGGAUCAGCACUUAAAAGGUGGAUAAUUUCUAUUUCAAGUUGUUCUACAUUUGCAUAAAUUAUUUCUAUUAUUAUUCAUGUAUAUUAUUUAUUUCUCAAUCACACUAGUCCUGUGAAAGUGCACAGAAAGCAGACGGCAUUAGGAUUUGCAUUUAAUGCUCGUUAUCAUGGUCUCGAUGGAGCUAAGAGAAUUAAAAUUAGACUAAACCCCCAAAUAAGCUGCAUGCAUUUUAACAUGAUUAGUAGAAUUUAAGUCUAUAGAGAUAGUAUUUUUGUGUCUAGGUGUUUUAUCAUUAUGUAAAGGAAUUAAAGCAAAUGACUUGUUCUUUUGUCAAAUAUGCAUUUACUAUAGUGUGAAACUAGAGCAGAAAUUAAAACCGCAGACAGCAAAAUAUCAGAUACUGCCUUAAUUUAGGAACUCUGCCAGGUGGCCAUCAGAAUAGAUGCCAGGCAGAAGUAGGUGCCUGGCUGGUGCCUCUUGUUACCUGGCCUUGAGAAGAAACUUCCGCACGCAAUCUAGCGCCCUCAUAGAUGUGCAGCAGUGGGAACCAGUAGUAGUGUUGACAGGAGAGCAGUGUGAGAGUUUUCUGUAGAAGCAGAACUGUCAGCAUGUGCUUUGAGGCUUCCAGAAUGUGUCAGAUGGAGAAGUCCAAGUUUCCAUGCUUCAGGCAUUUUGGUUUUGUACAGAGGCAACCUAGUCUGGUAAUUAAAACGAGGAUUGCGUGUACAGUAGGCAACAAUGGGAUUUUAACCAACAGUCCCCAACACCUCAAAAGCUUGUUGCAUUUCUGGUAUUUUAUGUUUUGAUCUAAAGGUUAAAUGGCAAGUGUUUCAUAUAGAAGAGCAGUAUGUGUUAAGAAAUGCACAAUAUCAGUUCCCGUAGAGUGCAGAUUAGAACUAGAGGGCUUUAUAGAAUUAUCAUUUCUGAGAUGUGUAAAAGCAUGUUUUCACUGUAAAAUGUAUUAGUGUUUCUGCAUUCCUAUAGGGCCUAGUUAAAACUUCUAGAUUUCAGCAAGGCUGUUGAAGUCAGUGAGCCUUUUUUUUUUUUUUUUUUUUUUUUUAGCUUAUUUUCUUUACUUAUUUCUAUAAUAGAAAAUGUUUUAAAAGUAGAAAAAAAUCUUAAUUGGGAUAUUUGACUUGUUGAUUUCUGUGUUUGAAAUCACGGUUCUGAAGAGGCAGAGAAUUUGCAUGUGCAUUUCAGAUACUAACUUAGGCUGUGUGAACUAGCCGAGGAUAACUAACUGAUACUCCGUCAACCCCUAUAUCCUCCCUCACUCCCUCUGAAGUCUUCCCCAUCCCCUUCCUGGCCUGUCCACGUGGUGCUCUCCAUCCUCCUCUGCUGUUCUUUGGGGUCAGGGACAUGAUGAGAGAUGCUUUAGGCCUCACAGGUAUGCCUGUCCAGGCUUAGCCACCACCCCUACUUGACCUUUGGCUGGCCGCACUCAUCAGAGAAGGUUCCUGGUGCAGAGAAUGUCAUGGCAUCCAUCACCAAUGCCCUCUAGCAUCUUCACGUAUAGCUUGAUGUUUAAACCAAGUCAUUCUACCGAGCAUUCAGGUUUGGCUGUGGUGCAAAGAGAAAAACUAACAGAGAAUAUAAACCACAUUCCAGGCUGCUGUUUUCUACCCAUCUACAGGCUAUACUUUUACUGUAUCUCUUCAUACUUGAAGCUCAUUCUGCUAUUUUAAUAUCAGGGUACAGACUUAUAAGGGUGCAUGUUCCCUAAAGGUGCAAAAUUACUCUCAUUCCGUUUGCUCAUAUUGCUUCAGAAUGCUCUGUUUUGGUGCUUCGGGCUCAGCAGGUCAAAGAAGCAGUGCGAAAAUGCACUGCCUGGAACACAGUCUUACAGGAAUGUUGGCAGAUGGCUUGGUGUUAGGUAUUGCUUCUGCUCUUUUCUCUGUACACAAGAUUGUUACCACACUGGUCUGUCAGGCUCCCCUGGGUAUCCUUCCUCACAGGGUCCCUAAACCCCGUGCUCUCCCCAGAUGUGGGUGCAGUGCAGCUCCCUGACACCAGCGGCCUUCCUCCGUAUGCGGAUCUUUCAGCCCUCAAAGAAAAAUGACCUCAGGUGUAGACAGUAGGAGAAUGGAAAGAGCCAUCUCGCUCAAGCAACCAACCAUCCACGCAGAAAACCCUCCCAAGACAACACUUGAAAAGAGGAGAAAAGGAAGAAAGCUUAGCUGUAAUGUUACCCUCCUCAUGGUGCCCUGAGCUGAGUGGCCUUGCUUUGGGUAGAUGAAAAUAUAGGUCAGUUUACUCUUCUCACCCAAAGAGGAAAACAGAAGAGUAAGUGUGUCCCCUCAAGUAUGCAAUCCAAGGACCACCACAAUUUACAUUAAAUUCCCAUCGCUAGCAACCUGUUUUACAUACUAGCUCGAGUAAGGGACGCUUAAUGACCCAGGGUUUCUGAGGUCAGGGGUAGCUCUUCUUGUGUUCACCUCACUCUAACGUGUGGAGAGGGAGAACUACCAGUGGCGACUCUGCGGGGAUGGCCAAGGUAACACGUCAGAAAUUUCAGAGGGUUACCGAUCAAGAAUCUUUUGGAAACUGGAUGACUUCUAGGGUGCUAGAAUGCAAAUUUAGGUAUUUAUUGUCAGAUAAUGGAACUCAUUGUUUUUUUUUAAGAAUUGGUGUUGAAAUAUCACUGUCCAGUUCAUUGUUUUCACUUAUGCACAAGCUAAAUUUGAGCAAAAAGAAAAUGGUUUGUAUAUUUGUCAUAACUUUUGUAUUUCUUACAAUAAAACUAUGGGUAGCAAAUAAAAAUAAUAAAAACAGCAAUUUUAAACUGCCUUCUUGGAGAUGAAUUACUAA